rnacentral:rRNA from 2 species
AACGAACGCUGGCGGCAUGCCUAACACAUGCAAGUCGAACGGGAUCCAGGCUUCGGCCUGGUGAGAGUGGCGGACGGGUGAGUAACACGUGGGAACCUGCCUUUUGGUUCGGGAUAACCGCGGGAAACUGCGGCUAAUACCGGAUGCUCCCGAGAGGGGAAAGAUUUAUCGCCAGAAGAGGGGCCCGCGUCCGAUUAGGUAGUUGGUGAGGUAAUGGCUCACCAAGCCGACGAUCGGUAGCUGGUCUGAGAGGAUGAUCAGCCACACUGGGACUGAGAUACGGCCCAGACUCCUACGGGAGGCAGCAGUGGGGAAUAUUGGACAAUGGGGGCAACCCUGAUCCAGCAAUGCCGCGUGAGUGAUGAAGGCCUUAGGGUUGUAAAGCUCUUUUGCCAGGGAAGAUGAUGACUGUACCUGGAGAAUAAGCCCCGGCUAACUUCGUG